CGCUCUCUUAAAGCAAGCUGCAGCCUGAUACAGACACUGCCAGUUUCUAGGCAAUGGAAGGUUCUGGAAAGUGGAUCAUUGUCCCCCUCUGGUAGAUAUGAUGAUUGAGGAUCACUUGGUAUCCUCCUUGUGGAAGCCAUGUUCCCUGCGUGCCUCCCUCUCUCUCAAGCGUGAUCCCGUGCCCUCCUCAUGUCGUAUCCUGUUCAACUACCACAGAAUCUCAAAGUCUUCAGAGCUGGAGCAGCUCCCUAAUUUUUUCCUGUCAUUUCUCAUCGGAAGGUUUUGUUCUCUUGCUCCAGGGCUGCAUCACUGUGGGCACGCCAAGCUUCCCUGGUUACCUGAGCUGCUCCUGCGGUGUCCCCCGCAUCGGCUUCGCCAGGGUGCACUGGAACCCCGAGUCGCGGUCUGCGCCAUGCCGAAGAAGGACCUGCUCCGGAGCUCUGGCCGGGGCCCCUCACAGCUGCAAGAGGGUGACGCCGCAGAAGACCCGGGGUGGGACGGGUAG
rnacentral:lncRNA from 1 species